rnacentral:rRNA from 1 species
ACUCAAAUGAAUAGACGGGGACCCGCACAACCAGUGGAGCGUGUGGUUCAAUUUGAGACGAAGCAAAAAACCUCACCAGGGUUUGACAUGUAUUCGUUUAUUCUCUUGGAAACUUGAGAAGAUCUUGCGAAAGCAAGAUGUUUACACAGGUGUUGCAUGGCUGUCGUCAGCUCGUGCCGUGAGGUGUUCCAUUAAGUUGGGAAACGAGUGCAACCCCCAUCUUGUGUUACAUUGUUCACAAGAGACUGCCUCAAUUUUUGAGGAGGAAGGAGGGGCGGACGUCAAGUCAGCAUGACCCUUAUACCCUGGGCUACACACACCCUACAAUGGCGAAAAACAAUGAGCCGCAAGCCGGUAACGGCAAGCUAAUCUCUGAAAUUUCGCCUCAGUUCAGAUUGGGGUCUGAAACCCGACCCCAUGAAGUCGGAAUUGGUAGUAAUCGCGGAUCAGCAGGCCGCGGUGAAUACGUUCUCGGGUCUUGUACACACCGCCCGU